rnacentral:lncRNA from 1 species
AUAUAAUCAGCUAUGGUUGAAUUGUCAAAGACAGGUUGGUUGAUAUGGAUUACUCGAUUACUUGACUUAAUAACUAUGCCAUACUUCCUUGGUUGUACUUGUAAGACAGCUACAAAGUAAGUUAAUAGAUAAUAGAUACUGGAUUUGGUGUUGCCUGCUGCAGUGCUUUCUGCUAACCAGUCAAAUUGCAUAUUAUAAUUUUUGUUAUGUUUUUUGGAUGAUUGGCUUGAGCAAGAUAUUUUAUGACACGUCUUGUUCUCAUCCAUACUGUCAUUUUCAGUUUACAGAAUUCGUGCAUACAAUACAAGCGCUGCAGAUUGAGCUGGCAGAUGUAAAAGAAGGAAAUGCAACUUCUAAUGAUGAAUCACGUGACUUAAAGAAAAAAGAUGCUUCACAGCCUGGGAAAAAU